AGUGAACGCUGGCGGUAGGCCUAACACAUGCAAGUCGAACGGCAGCACAGUAAGAGCUUGCUCUUACGGGUGGCGAGUGGCGGACGGGUGAGGAAUACAUCGGAAUCUACUUUUUCGUGGGGGAUAGCGUAGGGAAACUUACGCUAAUACCGCAUACGACCUACGGGUGAAAGCAGGGGAUCUUCGGACCUUGCGCGAUUGAAUGAGCCGAUGUCGGAUUAGCUAGUUGGCGGGGUAAAGGCCCACCAAGGCGACGAUCCGUAGCUGGUCUGAGAGGAUGAUCAGCCACACUGGAACUGAGACACGGUCCAGACUCCUACGGGAGGCAGCAGUGGGGAAUAUUGGACAAUGGGCACAAGCCUGAUCCAGCCAUACCGCGUGGGUGAAGAAGGCCUUCGGGUUGUAAAGCCCUUUUGUUGGGAAAGAAAAGCAGCAGGUUAAUACCCCGCUGUUCUGACGGUACCCAAAGAAUAAGCACCGGCUAACUUCGUG
rnacentral:rRNA from 1 species